UACGGAGGGUGCGAGCGUUGUCCGGAAUCACUGGGCGUAAAGGGCGCGUAGGCGGCCUGAUAAGUAGGGGGUGAAAUCCUGUGGCUUAACUGCAGGGCUGCCUCCUAGACUGUUAGGCUCGAGCACGGUAGAGGCAGAUGGAAUUCCCGGUGUAGCGGUGGAAUGCGUAGAGAUCGGGAAGAACAUCGGUGGCGAAGGCGGUCUGCUGGGCCGUUGCUGACGCUGAGGCGCGACAGCGUGGGGAGCAAACAGG
rnacentral:rRNA from 1 species